GGCGUUGUGCGAUAGUGGUUAUUCGGUGGGUUUAGAAAACCCAUGCUUUCGGGCUCACAGGUUCGAAUCCUGUCAACGUCG